rnacentral:rRNA from 1 species
GCCUAGCCCUAAACACAGAUACCCCAACACCCCAGUAUUCGCCAGGGAACAACGAGCCCCAGCUUAAAACCCAAAGGACUUGGCGGUGCUUUAGACCCCCCUAGAGGAGCCUGUUCUAGAAUCGAUACUCCCCGUUCAACCUCACCCUCCCUUGUUCUCCCCGCCUAUAUACCGCCGUCGUCAGCUUACCCUAUGAAGGGCAAAUAGUGAGCAAAAUUGGCACAGCCCAAAACGUCAGGUCAAGGUGUAGCGCACGAGAGGGGAAGAAAUGGGCUACAUUUGCUGAAACAGCAAACACGGAUUAUGCACUGAAAUAAGCAUCUGAAGGAGGAUUUAGCAGUAAGAAGUGAAUAGAGCGCACUUCUGAAAACGGCCCUGAAGCGCGCACACACCGCCCGUCACUCUCCCCAAAAACCCAGACAUAAUAAAUAAUACACCAAUCACCAUAGAGGGGAGACAAGUCGUAACAUGGUAAGUGUACCGGAAGGUGCACUUGGAAAAACC